rnacentral:rRNA from 1 species
GACGUAGGGCGCGAGCGUUGUCCGGAUUUAUUGGGCGUAAAGAGCUCGUAGGCGGCUUGUCGCGUCGUUCGUGAAAACCCACAGCUCAACUGUGGGCUUGCGGUCGAUACGGGCAGGCUGGAGUUCGGUAGGGGAGACUGGAAUUCCUGGUGUAGCGGUGAAAUGCGCAGAUAUCAGGAGGAACACCGGUGGCGAAGGCGGCAUCCUGGACCGAGAUUGACGCUGAGGCGCGAAAGCCAGGGGAGCAAACGGG